CCUACGGGUGGCAGCAGUGAGGAAUAUUGGUCAAUGGACGAGAGUCUGAACCAGCCAAGUAGCGUGAAGGAUGACUGCCCUAUGGGUUGUAAACUUCUUUUAUAUGGGAAUAAAAUGAUCCACGUGUGGGAUUUUGUAUGUACCAUAUGAAUAAGGAUCGGCUAACUCCGUGCCAGCAGCCGCGGUAAUACGGAGGAUCCGAGCGUUAUCCGGAUUUAUUGGGUUUAAAGGGAGCGUAGGUGGGUUGUUAAGUCAGUUGUGAAAGUUUGCGGCUCAACCGUAAAAUUGCAAUUGAUACUGGCAGUCUUGAGUACAGUAGAGGUAGGCGGAAUUCGUGGUGUAGCGGUGAAAUGCUUAGAUAUCACGAAGAACUCCGAUUGCGAAGGCAGUUCACUGGACUGCAACUGACACUGAGGCUCGAAAGUGUGGGUAUCAAACAGGAUUAGAUACCCGUGUAGUC
rnacentral:rRNA from 1 species